AGUAUUACGAUGGAGCAUCAUACAGACAAGGCAAGAUGUUUGUCUUUCCACUCUUUUCAGUUACUGUUAGGCAUUGAGAUGAUAUAUUGAUCAUCAUGGACCUUAAUUCUCUUUGCCCUGCUAAUUCACCUAUUACCGCUACAUUAUGAAAUAGCUGGUUCGAUUUUACAAUCUUCUCUGCUGCGUUAAACUUACAGGUGCAAGCAAUUGCAUGGAAUCACCAGGAUCCACAAAUUCUUCUUAGUGGAUCUUUUGAUCGAUCAGUUGUAAUGGUAUAAAGAUCAUAUCCCCUUUAAGUUUAUCGGUAUGAGUAGCAUAUGAUAUAUAAUUGAAUUUUUCAGACA
rnacentral:lncRNA from 1 species